ACUCCUGCGGGAGGCAUCAGUGGGGAAUAUUGGACAAUGGGCGCAAGCCUGAUCCAGCCAUGCCGCGUGAGUGAUGAAGGCACUAGGGUUGUAAAGCUCUUUCACCGGUGAAGAUAAUGACGGUAACCGGAGAAGAAGCCCCGGCUAACUUCGUGCUAGCAGCCGCGGUAAUACGAAGGGGGCUAGCGUUGUUCGGAUUUACUGGGCGUAAAGCGCACGUAGGCGGACUAUUAAGUCAGGGGUGAAAUCCCGGGGCUCAACCCCAGAACUGCCUUUGAUACUGGUAGUCUUGAGUUCGAGAGAGGUGAGUGGAAUUCCGAGUGUAGAGGUGAAAUUCGUAGAUAUUCGGAGGAACACCAGUGGCGAAGGCGGCUCACUGGCUCGAUACUGACGCUGAGGUGCGAAAGCGUGGGGAGCAAACAGGAUUAGAAACCCCGGUAGUCCCAU
rnacentral:rRNA from 1 species